GUUCUGGCUGCCGCCUUCCAUUUAGUUUCAAAAGGAAACGACACAAUUGUUACAAUUGUGGACUUGUUUUUUGCCAUUCCUGUAGUAGUAAAAAGUCUCUGAAGGCUUCAAUGGCACCAAAUCCCAACAAACCUUACCGUGUCUGUGAUCAAUGUUUUGGCAAACUUAGGAGGGUUGCUGAAACUGACUCUUCAUCUCAUUCUGCUCUAAGUAGAAGAGGAAGUGUAAAUCAGCGACUAAUUGAUGUUGAAAACAGUGACUAUUUGAAUUCAAGAUCACAUGUCCAACUUGGAAGAAAUAAUUCCAUAGAGUCAUCUAUAGAUGUAGAAAGUGAAUCUUUAAAAAGGAACAAGUUAAACUUGAACCAUUCUCAGGUUUCACUCUCUGCAAAUGAUUCUUCUCAGCGGAAUACAAUUAAUAACUCUAAAUAUUUUGGUUCGUCCAAGAAAUUUUUCUCAGCUUCUCUUCCUGGAUCAAGAAUUAUGUCUCGAGCCACAUCACCAACAUCAAGGAGAUCUAGUCCACCUCGUGCAACAACACCAACCCCAACUAUUUCAGCGCAUGCAUUGCCAAAAAUUGUUGUGGAUGACACUAAAAAGUCAAAUGAAAGGCUGAGUGAAGAAGUUGCUAAACUAAGGGCUCAGGUUGAAGAACUUACUCGCCAAGCUCAGGUUCAAGAAGAUGAGCUGGAAAGGACAACCAAACAAUUGAAGGAAGCUAUUGCAGUGGCGGAGGAGGAGACUUCAAAAUGCAAAGCAGCAAAGGAAGUAAUCAAGUCACUUACCGCCCAAUUGAAGGACAUGGCAGAAAGGUUACCUGUUGGAGCAGCAAGAAACAGCAGUUCACCUUCGUUUUAUUUUUCUAGUGCUACUCCCCCGAGGGAAGUUUCCUCGGCAGUCAAUGAGCAACUGAUUAAUCCCACAACUUUCCAUGAAUCUGAUUCAAAUGGAUCAAGCAGCCUGGUGAUUUCCAAUAUUUCUGGCACCACUAGCAAUCAAACUAUAAAUCACUCUGAACAUUUGGAAGCGACAAUAAAGAGUAAAAGCAGAACAGCAAAGAUUGAACCCACCCAUGGGGAUGAAUGGGUUGAGCAAGAUGAACCGGGUGUGUACAUUACCCUUGUUUCCUUGCCAGGAGGUGCCAAAGAUCUUAAGCGUGUCCGAUUCAGGUAUUUUGUAAGGCAUUACAAGCUGUAUGACUGUUUUUCCCUAAAUGCAUUUUUGUCAAAACAUAAAAGCUUUAUCCUGAAAGGCCAGAACUAUAUUUUUCAUUCAAUGAUAAUAAAUAUAAUAUAGCAAAUUGCUUUUCCCUUCCCCCAACAAAGGGAAAAGAAGAGCUGUAAGAGCACACAAUAUGUGGGAGUAGCGAUAGGACAUUACGAUAAUUUGUUCUUCCUCCUUUUGCUCACUCCGCUCCUUUCUCGGCAAACAAGAAGGGAGGGGGAGGGUGUGGCUGUGUUUGCCAGUAGACAAGCUUGGACCAUUAAGUUUUCUGUACUUUUUUGGAGCUGGGUAAUGAUCAAAAUUUUCUAAUUACUGAUUAAUACUUUGUUGGAGAUGAUUACCCUCUUGCAUAUUAAUUUCUCGUUUUGCAGUCGAAAGCGAUUCAGUGAGAAACAAGCAGAACAAUGGUGGGCAGCAAACAGAGCAAGGGUAUAUCAGCAAUACAAUGUUCCCAUGGUCGAUAAAUCUAUUUUGGGUUUGGGGAGGGAAGGUUUAGCACAUUGACCUUCAAUAAUCAAAGAUGCAACUACGGUGGCACUUGCAAAUGCUAUUGAUUAGAAUUUUCAGAUUUUGGUUUUAAAUUUCUGCUCUUGUGAUUGAAUGAAGCCAAUUUUGUUGUUUAGAGGGUGGGAUUGCUAAUCUCUUUUGCUUUCUCUCUCCUUUUUCCUUCCUUGAUCUUGUUUUUUUGGCCCUUCGAUUUUUUUUUUCCCCUUCUUUUGGCUGGUAAAUGAUGUAUCCAUGUCUUCACAAUUUUCUAUAAUUUUUUUUUUUCAAGGGAAGCUUGAAAAGUGGUGAGGGUUAUGUAAAUUCUUUGUAAGUAGAUUGCAGGCUUUGAAUUCAAAACAGCUGUCAUUGUAUAUUCAUGAGGAUGGUAGCAUUCAGAUUGGAUGGCAUUCAUGUUGCAAGUGCUUCUUCUGCCCUUCUUUUUAAUAUCCAUCUGGCUACGCCAGUCUACGAUUAAAAAUUUUCCCUCACAACUACUGGGCAAGUUAG
rnacentral:misc_RNA from 1 species